rnacentral:tRNA from 1 species
GGCGCAGUGGCAGAGUGGUCUAAUGCGUGUGACUAGAAUCCCUAGAAUAUCUUAUAGAUUAUCACAUCCCUUCGGGGGCGUCUGUUCGAAUCAGGCCUGCGUCG